rnacentral:rRNA from 1 species
UACGUAGGUGGCAAGCGUUGUCCGGAUUUACUGGGCGUAAAGAGCGCGCAGGCGGUCGUUCAAGUCGCGUGUGAGAGCCCCCGGCUCAACUGGGGAGGGUCACGCGAUACUGAUCGACUCGAAGGCAGGAGAGGGUAGUGGAAUCCCCGGUGUAGUGGUGAAAUGCGUAGAUAUCGGGAGGAACACCAGUGGCGAAGGCGACUACCUGGCCUGUUCUUGACGCUGAGGCGCGAAAGCUAGGGGAGCAAACGGG